AUGCAAGUCGAACGAAGUAGCAAUACUUAGUGGCAGACGGGUGAGUAACAUGUGGGUAUCUGCCCUAUGGCCUGGAAUAACACGAGGAAACUUGUGCUAAUACCGGAUAAGUCUUUACGGAGAAAGCUUUAUGCACCAUUGGAUGAGCCUGCACUUGAUUAGUUUGUUGGUGGGGUAAUGGCCUACCAAGACUGUGAUCAAUAGCUGAUUUGAGAGGAUGAUCAGCCACAUUGGGACUGAGACACGGCCCAAACUCCUACGGGAGGCAGCAGUGGGGAAUCUUGCACAAUGGAGGAAACUCUGAUGCAGCGAUGCCGCGUGAGUGAAGAAGGCCUUUGGGUUGUAAAGCUCUUUCGUCGGGGAAGAAAAUGACUGUACCCGAAUAAGAAGGUCCGGCUAACUUCGUGCCAGCAGCCGCGGUAAUACGAAGGGACCUAGCGUAGUUCGGAAUUACUGGGCUUAAAGAGUUCGUAGGUGGUUGAAAAAGUUGGUGGUGAAAUCCCAGAGCUUAACUCUGGAACUGCCAUCAAAACUUUUCAGCUAGAGUAUGAUAGAGGAAAGCAGAAUUUCUAGUGUAGAGGUGAAAUUCGUAGAUAUUAGAAAGAAUACCAAUUGCGAAGGCAGCUUUCUGGAUCAUUACUGACACUGAGGAACGAAAGCAUGGGUAGCGAAGAGGAUUAGAUACCCUCGUAGUCCAUGCCGUAAACGAUGUGUGUUAGACGUUGGAAAUUUAUUUUCAGUGUCGCAGCGAAAGCGAUAAACACACCGCCUGGGGAGUACGACCGCAAGGUUAAAACUCAAAUGAAUUGACGGGGACCCGCACAAGUAGUGGAGCAUGUGGUUUAAUUCGAAGAUACGCGCAGAACCUUACCAACACUUGACAUGUUCGUCGCGACUCUAAGAGAUUAGAGUUUUCGGU
rnacentral:rRNA from 1 species